rnacentral:lncRNA from 1 species
GUCCAUUUUCUUUUUUACGGCCCUGAUCUCGCCCUCUCCUUUUGUCUUAUCUGCGGCAUUAAUUAGGUAAUCUUAAUUAUCGCCGUCUAUUCAUCAUUAUAACCGACCUCGGAACUCGUUUAGAUGUGACGAUUCGAUGCGACGGCCUUUUCUUCUUCCCUAAACUUCUCAUUCUUUUUGUCUUUCCUAUCCCCUUCUUAUUUCUUCUUCGUCUUCUUAAGCGAAACUUUUCUUUCGCUCAUCUUUACUUUUUCUUCAUCUUCUCCAAUUUCUUUUAAUCUCCACCUCGCUUCUUUUCUCUUUUCCUUUUCUGACUAAUGGCACUAGUUCCGCCUCUUCCUUCUCACCCGUCUUUAGAUUACACUAUACUUAAACCC